GUUAAAAAGCUCGUAGUUGGAUUCUGCGGGGCGGCGCGGAUGCUAUAGCUCUCAGCUACACUUCCCCGCAUCCUGCCGCGAACCGUGCUACCAUUAGUUUGGUGGCGCUGGGGAUCGGCUCGUUUACUUUGAGAAAAAUAGAGUGUUCAAAGCAGGCCACACGCCUUGAAUAAGUUAGCAUGGAAUAAUGAUAAAGGACUUCGGUUCUAUUUUGUUGGUGUUCGGGACUGAAGUAAUGAUUGAUAGGGACAGUUGGGGCGGUCAGUAUUCCAAAGCGAGAGGUGAAAUUCUUAGACCUUCGGAAGACUAACAGCUGCGAAAGCGUUCCGCAAGGAUAUUCCCUUUGAUCAAGAACGAAAGUUGGGGGAUCGAAGACGAUCAGAUACCGUCGUAGUCUCAACUAUAAACUAUACCAGCUAGGGAUCGGCCGACGUUUACUUAUAUCGACUCGGUCGGCACCUUAUGAGAAAUCAAAGCAUCUGGGUUCCGGGGGGAGUAUGGUCGCAAGGCUGAAACUUAAAGGAAUUGACGAA
rnacentral:rRNA from 1 species